rnacentral:lncRNA from 10 species
ACUUUUGUUGGAGCCUGAAUGCAAGAGCCAUUCUCACUGGGAUGCCACAGCUCUGGAGACUUCUUAUAGAUGUUGUUUGGAACACUCCAGGCUUGGAGAUGGGCCUUUAGACACUGCCUGUAGUACUGCUUAGCAACAGCUCUACAGACAUAAAGAGAUUGCAGUGGCUGCUCCUUCCUGGCUCCACCAUUCAGCAAGAGCUCCACAGAGGAUGAAGAGAUCCUCCUAGCUUGGCGGAAUACUCUGCUCUGAUGGAAGUACCAUCCUGGUCCAAACAUGAAAGAAUUCCCAACAUCAAGAUUGAUUGAAACAUAUUCAAUGGGUGGUGACCAGAUGGAUAUAAACGGGCUGUGGAAAAAGAGAAUGCAUGGCCAAAAAUGGUGGUGCUCUCUGUCCAAAAACUGAGGCCCUAUGACCAUGAAUGAAGCCAGAGGGCAGGUAGGAAUAGAUCAUUUGCUCCAGAAGAAGCUGGUUGCCAUGUCUUGAGGACAGUAAACCCUCUGGGGAGGUUCCUGUGGUAAGGAACAAGGGCUCCUGGCAAUAGCCUCUGAGUGAGCCACCUUGAAAAUGGAUUGUCCAGCCCCAGUCAAGCUUUCAGAUGACUGUAGCUCCUGCCAAUGUCUUCACCACAACCUCAUGAGAUCCCAAGCUACAACCACUCAGUUAAGUUAUGCCAAAAUUCCUGAUUCACAGAAAUUGACAUACAGGAGAGGUCACAGUUAAGAUCUUGAUGUUCUAUCUUGACCCAUAAUAUAGGAACUUCAUCUUUUGGGAAGCACCAGGGAGAGCUGCCUGUGCCUGGCAGAAGCUGCCCAUGCCCCACUGAUACCCCACAGUACUUCCUGUUCUGCUUAGUACUCCUGCUUCUUUCUACAAACAACUGUGAUUCUCUACCUGGGAGCUUCCUCUGGCCACAGGAGCCUGCUCACCUGAUUGGGACACCCUAGCAGUACUGGCUCAUAGAUGGAAGGGACUUGCCUUGUCGCUGAUGAGACUUUCGACUUGGACUUUUGAGUCAAUGCUGGAAUGAGUUAAGACUUUGGGGAACUGUUGGAAGGGUGUGAUUGUGUUUUGAAUUGUGAGGACAUGAGAUUUUGAAGAGGCUAAUGGCAGCGUCCCCACCUAAAUCUCUUCUUGAAUUGUAGUUCCCAUAAUCCCCACGUGUCGUGGGGUGGAGCCGGUGGAGAUAAUUGAAUCAUGGGAACACUUUCCCCCAUGCUGUUAUUGUGAUUGUGAAUUCUCACGAGAUCUGAUGGUUGUAUAAACGCCUUCCCUCUUCGCUGGGCACUCAUUUUUCUCCUUCCUGCCACCAUGUGAAGAAGGAUAUGCUUGCUUCUUGUGCCAUGAUUACAAGAACACACUCAGAAAUUUUCUCAACACAGUUUCUAUGCAGAGAAGAGAUGUGGGACAGAUUUGAACUGCUGUCAUAUUUGUAUGAACCCAAGACAUUUUCCAAGACCAAGAGGGAUAAAGACAGCAAUUUCUAUGACUGGCAUUUUACGUGCAUGCACUGUUUCCAAGUGUUCUUGUGUUCUGUGCCUUAAACAUUCUGUGUUGCAACUUUAUGAAUUGAAUUAAAGAUAAUCCCAAGCCCCCAAUUGUCUCAAAAAGUGAAAAAGUAAAUGUUAUAGAAAGAAAAGCGGGAAAAACUUUAAGCAUGAAAUAAAAGAUGGGUUGUGAUAAAAGAGGACUGAAGAAGGAAAAGGAAUGAAAGGUUCUGCCAUCCUUCAUGGCAGCCCACUCCACUUGGUAUGAGAUACUGCUCCCUUGGCUGAAAGUUAACUGCUGUACUCCCUCCACUUUCUAUAAAUGACUCCCUGUGCCUUUCCUUCACCACACAACUCACACUCUCUUCCUUCCUAGUGAGUCCACUAAGGCUUCACUGCAUUAUUACAUUUAUUUCAUUUAGGAAAAACUGACUUUAUUUUCCUUCAAAUUGUUUUUUAUUGUUUAUAUGAGCU